rnacentral:rRNA from 1 species
AGGGGGAUUUUGCACAAUGGGCGCAAGCCUGAUGCAGCGACGCCGCGUGAGGGAUGAAGGCCUUCGGGUUGUAAACCUCUUUCGCUGGGUUGAAAGGCCAUGCUUUGGGUGUGGUUGAUUUGAACUGGUAAAGAAGUACCGGCUAACUACGUGCCAGCAGCCGCGGUAAUACGUAGGGUACUAGCGUUGUCCGGAUUUAUUGGGCGUAAAGGGCUUGUAGGUGGUUUGUCGCGUCUGUCGUGAAAUCCUGUGGCUUAACCAUGGGCUUGCGGUGGGUACGGGCAGGCUUGAGUGCGGUAGGGGAGACUGGAAUUCCUGGUGUAGCGGUGGAAUGCGCAGAUAUCAGGAGGAACACCGGUGGCGAAGGCGGGUCUCUGGGCCGUUACUGACACUGAGGAGCGAAAGCGUGGGGAGCGAACAGG